rnacentral:rRNA from 1 species
CACAGAGGGCGUGGCCGAGGAAGGCGCCCCCCUUCUCCCUCUACAGGCAACGGUGGUAGAAGCUAUCAAGGCCGUCCACAACAACAGCAACAGCAACGUCAACAACCACCUCGAGAUUAUCCUGAAUGUCAGAUAUGUUACAAGUUUCAUGCAGGAGGUGCCCGUGCUUGUUGGGAUCGCUAUGAGGAAGAUGACUAUGAAGAGAAGGAGGUAAAUGUUCUCACCAACGGCUAUGGCAUCGACACCAACUGGUACGCGGACACCGGAGCAACAAACCAUAUCACGGGAGAGCUGGACAAGCUAACCAUCAGGGACAAAUACCAUGGACAGGACCAAGUUCACACCGUAAGCGGUUCUGGACUUGGACACGAGGAGAAUACUUCUUAG